GUUCUUUCCACAGUGCUACUUUUCGGCCUGUUAUAUGUCUCUCAGGGUGGGAUAUACGUGUUGACACUGGUGGACUGGUUUUCUUACUUCCCUGCCUUAGCGCUCUAUGCCCUUCAGAAGUGCGUCAUCGUGGGCUGGUGUUAUGGCACAAAGAGGCUGGAAGAAGAUGUCAGUAUGCUGUGGG